rnacentral:lncRNA from 1 species
AAAAAAAAUUACAGCACUGCAAAAGAUAACAGACAAUCCCUGGAGUUCUAAUUCUAGAAAGUUUCAGUCAAGUAAUAGGUCUUAAUAAUAUGGGUUAGGUACCUGUGCUAACUGUUCUGUUUUAGGGGGCUAGGAAUAUAGUUCAGUUUAGAGUGCUUAUGAAGAGUAAGAAAUCUGCUCACUUAGCCAAGAAGUUCUGAUAGACAUUGUGGCUCUCAGGCUACGGUGCUCUCCUGGGAUAAGCAAACUGAGGAAACCAGAUAGUAGUCUAUGGUAGUAUUGGAGAAUUACCAAGUAAUUAUACAGUGACCUAAAAUAACAGGGUUGAAUAGGUAACAUUUCUUUGUAAUACAAGGUCUAAUAUGAACAGACUUGACUGAAUUAACAAACGUGACUUAAUUUUGUUUCC